CUCGCAGGGACAGCUCCCGUACCAGCAAACUAUUUUGAACCCGUGCUCCAGGGACCCAGCGAGAAACUUCUCCGACGUGACCACGUAACGACGCUGCGAAAUUACGCGACGCUAAACAAGUGGGCCAGGUUUCGCCAGCAAUAAAGAACCCAAGAGCAAAACUCCUUAAUCCGCAAACAUUAAUCCGCCCCCAAGCCUCCAGGUACAGUAUUGGCAACGCGUGGUUCCUGACUGGGAAUGCUCCUCGAAUCGUUUCACCCCCAAGAGGGAUGAACGAAGCACCGCGAGGAGGAAGGCAUUCUGCUUCGUGUACGUGCGUGACGUCAAUAUGUCCAAGAUAAUAAGAUGGCCGGCGAUAAAGUGGUGGGUGUAGAUACAAGAUAACAAUCAGCUCCAGUAGCUCCUGGCCAUCUCGUGAUUACAGGCUUAGCCUCCAGUCUCGGCGUCUCUCUUUCGCCUUGCACGUUGCGCCUCCCGUCCUCCGACCCAUUCCCAUCCCCCUCGACCAGGUACCCAGAUCUUUCCUCGACGUUCCACGUCCUCUCCACCUUCUUCUUCCUUUUCCUUCGCGGCUCCGUUCGUCGGGCUUCCUCCCGAAGGUUUUACGAUAUAUUUCAUAAGCGACGUGGACUGCCUCUACCCACGAGGGCACCCGCGACCGUCCUCGUUCCUCCCGUUCCAAGCCCCAGUCUCCGGUCUUUCCGAUUUUCGCACAUCGAAUAUUACAGCCUGACGGUGCAAAACGAGAAGGAGCCGCCGGUUCGGUACGACGGCGACGCUGCCAGGGCGUUUCAUCCCCCCUUUUGGACCUCUCUCUCCAUCCCUCUCGGCGGCCCUUUCGCCAGAGGUACCUCUUAAUAAUAAUUUUGAUCGGCAAAUUGGCGUGGUGCAUAUUUCAGGCUUCGAUCGUUAUCUCGCGAAACUUUCGGCCCUACCCGAGGUUUCGUUGCGCGCCGAACUGGGCCCGAUGCGUCGAAGAGAAAGAGGGGUGGCCGAAACGAGGGAGUAGGGUGGAGGGCCAGCCCGCGGGCUC